rnacentral:rRNA from 1 species
AUUGAACGCUGGCGGCAUGCCUUACACAUGCAAGUCGAACGGCAGCACGGGGGCAACCCUGGUGGCGAGUGGCGAGCGGGUGAGUAAUGCAUCGGAACGUGCCCAGUAGUGGGGGAUAACUAGUCGAAAGAUUAGCUAAUACCGCAUACGACCUAAUGGGUGAAAGCGGGGGAUUCGCAAGAACCUCGCGCUAUCGGAGCGGCCGAUGUCUGAUUAGCUAGNGGCGGGUAAAGCCCACCAAGGCUUCGAUCAGUAGCUGGUCUGAGAGGACGACCAGCCACACUGGGACUGAGACACGGCCCAGACUCCUACGGGAGGCAGCAGUGGGGAAUUUUGGACAAUGGGCGCAAGCCUGAUCCAGCCAUGCCGCGUGCGGGAAGAAGGCC